rnacentral:rRNA from 1 species
GACGAACGCUGGCGGCGUGCCUAAUACAUGCAAGUCGAACGCUUCUUUCCUCCCGAGUGCUUGCACUCAAUUGGAAAGAGGAGUGGCGGACGGGUGAGUAACACGUGGGUAACCUACCCAUCAGAGGGGGAUAACACUUGGAAACAGGUGCUAAUACCGCAUAACAGUUUAUGCCGCAUGGCAUAAGAGUGAAAGGCGCUUUCGGGUGUCGCUGAUGGAUGGACCCGCGGUGCAUUAGCUAGUUGGUGAGGUAACGGCUCACCAAGGCCACGAUGCAUAGCCGACCUGAGAGGGUGAUCGGCCACACUGGGACUGAGACACGGCCCAGACUCCUACGGGAGGCAGCAGUAGGGAAUCUUCGGCAAUGGACGAAAGUCUGACCGAGCAACGCCGCGUGAGUGAAGAAGGUUUUCGGAUCGUAAAACUCUGUUGUUAGAGAAGAACAAGGACGUUAGUAACCGAACGUCCCCUGACGGUAUCUAACCAGAAAGCCACGGCUAACUGCGUG